GUUAGUGUUAGAGUGAGUGUCAGUGUUAGAGUGAGUGUCAGAGUGAGUGAGAGUGUUAGAGUGUGUGUGAGUGUUAGAGUGAGUGUGUGUUAGAGUGUGUGUCUGCUAGUGAGUGUCAGUGAGUGUGUUACUGUGUGUGUCUUACUGAGUGUGUGUGUGUCUUAGUGAGUGUGUGUGUGUGUCUUAGUGAGUCUGUUUGAUGUCUGUUAGUGAG